GUGACACGAAAAUCAAACUCGCAGCUCUGCAUAUCUUCCACCCCGACUCUCGCCCAUCAAUGUCUGCAACUCUCUUUCUCUCUCGAUCACCUUCAUACCUCAUCAUCUCAUCCUCCUUAAACCCAAAACCUCCCAGAACCCCCAAACACACCCCAACCCCCACAAACCCCACAGAAUUCUCAGUCUCCGUAAAGCAACCCCUUUCGCAAUCCGAUGCCGCCAUUAAGAUGCCCGCAGCUCCAUGGAUGCAGGGCCCCCUUCUUCUCCAACCCCAUGAAGUUCUUGACCUCUCCAAACCCAACAACGACAAGAAGAACUUCAACAAUGCCAAGGUCGAGAAGGCCGAUAAGGCGCUGACUGAGAAAGUUGGCGUGAGAGGGACGAGAGCAGUGAAUAAGAUCGUCAGAAGCAUCGGAAGACUCCGAAAGAGUGAAAGUUCUGAUGAAACCCAGAAGGAUUCUGGGGAAUUUGGAUUUGGGGAUUGCUUGGAACAGCUUGGGGAAGAUAAAGGUACGAGAAAUGGCUGGAAAAUGCCGUGGGAAAGCAACGAGGGGUUUAUUUUUCGGAGGACGAAGAAGGAAAAGGCGGAGACUGAGGCAGAGUUGAGGCUUGACAAAGCGUUGCUUGAGAGGUUGAGAGGUGAGGCCGCAAAUAUGGGGCAGUGGGUGAAGGUUAAGAAAGCUGGGGUGACUCAAGGUAUAGUUGAUGAGAUUAAAAUGGUUUGGAGGAGGAAUGAGCUUGCUAUGUUAAAAUUUGAUGUCCCUUUGCGCCGGAAUAUGGAUAGAGCACGAGAAAUCGUCGAGAUCAAGACGGGAGGCCUGGUUGUAUGGUGUAAGAAAGAUAUUCUUGUUGUCUAUCGAGGAUGCAAGUAUCAGUCGUCUGUGGAUAGUUUUUUAAAGACGCAUGCGGGGGUUGCUGGCCGUCGAGGGGUGCCUUAUUAUGAAAUUAACUCCAAUGAAAGUGGUUUAGAUGAAAUGAUGCGCAGAAAGGAAAGUGAGGGGAAGACUUUACCAAGUGCCGACUUUUUAAAAGAGGAUUUGGAUAGCCAACCGGUCAGUGGAUCUCUUUAUGAGAGGGAAACAGACAGAUUAUUGGAUGGCUUGGGACCCCGCUUCAUUGACUGGUGGAUGCACAAACCUUUGCCUGUAGAUGCAGACUUACUUCCUGAAGUGGUUCCUGGAUUUAGGCCUCCCUUUAGGCUCUGUCCGCCGCAUGCUAGAGCAAAACUGACAAAUGAUGAAUUGACAUACUUGAGGAAGCUUGCCCACCCUUUACCUACUCAUUUUGUCCUUGGGAAAAACAGAAAACUUCAAGGCUUAGCUGUGGCCAUUUUAAAACUUUGGGAGAAAAGUCUGAUCGUGAAGAUUGCUUUGAAGUGGGGAAUCCCGAAUACAGACAAUGAGCAAAUAGCAUAUGAACUCAAGCAUCUUACAGGAGGAGUUCUUUUGCUGCGUAAUAAGUUUCUGGUCAUACUUUAUAGAGGCAAGGACUUUCUACCUGGCAGAGUUGAAAAUUUGAUAGAGGAGAGAGAAACCGAGCUCAAAAGAUGCCAACUUUAUGAAGAAGGUGCACGGCUGAAAGCAAUUGAAGCCAUUUGUGUGGAUAAUGGAUUAAUGGAAAACACUAGCACAUCUGGAACUUUAUCAGAAUCCCAGUAUAUCCAAACAGAGUUCAGGGACCUGAAAAACAGAAAUACCAAGAGAGAAAUCAAAUUGGAAGCCGAAAAGCAAAGAUUAGAGAGGGAACUAAGAGAGCAAGAGCGCAAGCUUUUCAUUCUUAACGUAAAGAUAGAGAAGUCGAUGAAGGAGUUAUCAAUGUUGAAUGGUGCAUGGGCACCUGUUGAACAGGAUGCUGACCAGGAAAUGAUAACAGAAGAGGAGAGAAAAUGUUUCGAGAAAAUGGGACUGAAGAUGGAUAGUUGUUUAGUGCUUGGCAGGCGUGGCGUCUUUGAUGGUGUAAUAGAAGGCUUGCAUCAACACUGGAAGUACAGAGAAGUAGCCAAGGUGAUUACAAUGCAGAGAUUGUUUCGACAGGUCAUUUAUACUGCUAAAUUGCUUGAAGCAGAAAGCAGUGGAAUUCUAGUUUCAGUGAACAAGCUAAAAGACGGUCAUGCUAUAAUUAUUUACCGUGGGAAGAACUACAGACGGCCUCUAAAACCGGUGCCUGAAAAUCUUCUAACCAAGAGAGAAGCAUUACAUAGAUCCCUUGAGAUGCAGAGAAUUGGAUCGCUGAAGUUUUUUGCUUAUCAGAGACAGCUGGCAAUUACAGAUUUGAAACGCAAAUUGGCAAAUCUACCAGAUAGCAGAUCUAUUGCUCUAAGAGAAUGUGAAGUUUCACAAAUCAUUAGGUGAUAGAUUUAGCAUGCCGUGAUUCCCAUUACAUGUUCAGUUUAUUUGAGGGAGGAAGGAUGUGGAUUUCCUGUGGGAUGGGAAUUCUCCAUCUGCUGGCCACCAAAUUACUUUGCAUGCAACAAAGAAUGACUAGUGUCACUGUAAUACUGCAAACUCCGACCACUGAUCCUGCAUACAUUAAAGACAGCAAACACCAGAGACAUACA